rnacentral:misc_RNA from 1 species
ACCUACUGUUUAAUUUUGAGGGUUCGUUUUUACGAAUACUCAAAAUUAGCACUUUAAGCAACGGGAUUUAUCCGUUGGCGCCGUGCUUUAGCACUUUUAGCAACAGAAUAAACUGAACGCAUGUGAAGUUUGUUUGUUGGCGCUGUGCGUUAGCACUUUAAGUAACGGGAUUUAUCCGUUGGCGUCGUGCGUUAGCGCUUUGAAAACUGCAUAUAUAUAUUUAGUGAUAUGACAUCUAAUUUGUAAUAUAUAAAGCUGAUAACUUUUUAAAAUUAUCGAAGUUGAUAGCUUCUAAUCUAUCAAACCUUUUUAACUGGUCAA